AGGAUCCGUUCUUGACGCACUUUGUUUGCAUGGAAACUGGUACAAUAGCACACUACACCGGAAUAUACAACGGCUCCAACGAAAUUACAAUCAUGGCUACGGGGGCAGUAAAAGACUUGGGAAGGCCUAAAAAUGCAGGUGUGACCAUCAGGAUCGCAAUAAGGAAGACACUCGAUACCUAUACCUUUUUUCCCGACUACGGUACAGAGCCUGUCGUUGCAGCCUUCUACAAUCUCUUGCCGUCUGGCCAUGAUUACGUACCUCGAUUCUCGAACAACUUCAACAUAAGACAUGUUUAUAUGGAGGUAUAUUACUAAACGUGUUCUCCACGCAAAAAACUUAAUGGCAAAGCGACUAUUACUAUACAGAUCCUACUAGCACCAAGUCAAAUGCGUAUCGGCACACGAACA